rnacentral:rRNA from 1 species
AACGAACGCUGGCGGCAGGCUUAACACAUGCAAGUCGAGCGCCCCGCAAGGGGAGCGGCAGACGGGUGAGUAACGCGUGGGAAUCUACCCAUCUCUACGGAAUAACGCAUGGAAACGUGUGCUAAUACCGUAUACGUCCUUCGGGAGAAAGAUUUAUCGGAGAUGGAUGAGCCCGCGUUGGAUUAGCUAGUUGGUGGGGUAGAGGCCUACCAAGGCGACGAUCCAUAGCUGGUCUGAGAGGAUGAUCAGCCACACUGGGACUGAGACACGGCCCAGACUCCUACGGGGGGCAGCAGUGGGGAAUAUUGGACAAUGGGCGCAAGCUUGAUCCAGCCAUGCCGCGUGAGUGAUGAAGGCCCUAGGGUUGUAAAGCUCUUUCACCGGUGAAGAUAAUGACGGUAACCGGAGAAGAAGCCCCGGCUAACUUCGUGCCAGCCGCCGCCGUAACAC